GAGUUUGAUCCUGGCUCAGGAUGAACGCUGGCGGCGUGCUUAAUACAUGCAAGUCGAGCGAACUGACGGAGGUGCUUGCACCUCCUGACGUUAGCGGCGGACGGGUGAGUAACACGUGGGUAACCUACCUAUAAGACUGGGAUAACUUCGGGAAACCGGAGCUAAUACCGGAUAAUAUUUAGCUUCGCAUGAAGCAAUAGUGAAAGACGGUUUUGCUGUCACUUAUAGAUGGACCCGCGGUGUAUUAGCUAGUUGGUGAGGUAACGGCUCACCAAGGCAACGAUACAUAGCCGACCUGAGAGGGUGAUCGGCCACACUGGGACUGAGACACGGCCCAGACUCCUACGGGGCGCAGCAGA
rnacentral:rRNA from 1 species